rnacentral:tRNA from 1 species
UGAGAGUUAGUUAAAAAAUAAUAUAAACCUGUCAUGUUUAAGUUGAAACAUCAUUCUUAA